CCGCCCAUAGCUCAGCUGGUAGAGCAGGGGACUCUUAAUCCCAAGGUCGCAGGUUCGAAUCCUGCUGGGCGGA
rnacentral:tRNA from 1 species